rnacentral:lncRNA from 1 species
UUACAAGGAGCACUUCAUUUCCUCAUUACAUAAGGACAAACAAACCCUAGAAGAACCCCAUGGCUGCCAUUCUUCUUCCUAAAAGAAACAAAACACAACCCUAGAGAAGCCAUUAUCCAUCGCCGCCUGCCAGCUUUCCACCAGGCGGCGCCUUCAAGCACCACGGAUUUCGAAACUCCAUCUCCACGCAUCAUCAUGAAGAUAGUAGUCGAACCGCCAAUCAUCUUCUCCAUAACGCACAGUUGUCGCUGCGAAAUAACCAUCCUCCAUAGCCGCUAAACUUCAAGAACAAACCCCUGAACCCCAUGAACCCCACCAGCCACCUCCCCUCCUAUCGGCGCUGCACAUAGAACAACAGCUCGGAGCGGCAAACAUCCCAUCAAACAAACGACCCUUUCUUCUUCAUCUUCAACCAGCCAUUAAUACCACGUACUAAGAAGCUCCAAAACCUUAUCAAAUACACUCCAAUACAGUUGCAAAAAUCUACCCGAAACAACACCUGAAUACACAAGUUUGUUCGAGCUCGAGUUCAUCUCUGGUGGUCGGUUCUGGUCGAGAGUCGUCUAUGUAAUUUCAACUCAGUUUAUUUACACCAAAGGUUACAUUCCGUCCAUUCCUUCCUUAUUUUAUCUACAAAGUUCUCUUUUCUAAUUGACAAGAUUCUUAGUGUUGUUAGUUGCAUACUGAUUCACUUAAUAUGUUAGUUGCAUACUGAUUCGCUUGAUACACUGUUUCGCAUACUGGUUUGCCCUAUGUGUUGCUUGGGUGCUAAUGUUAUAGUGGUUAUUCCAAUUCUCUUUUGCAAUAUUUCGUUAGAUAGUGCUGUUUGGAUUUUAUUUGUUAAUUUGGAGUUUCUAAUCUAAAAGAACAAAAACACAUUUUGAACUUGUUAAGGAAAACUUUUCAUGGAAUGGAAUUGAAAAGGUUAUAACAAUUUAAGCGUUGGAUUAUUUUUUUAGUUCUUUAUUUCGCUAUAGCCAUUUGAUCGCUAGGAGCAUGCUAGGUUGUCGACACUUAGGUAGGAAAUCUUUAGGUUUCUGGAUUAGUUUGAGGCAAGAGAUCGUUCCCUUAGUUAAAUUUAUGCGGAAAAUGCCCCGAUGGAUUCGUAUAUAUUUUAUUUCAGGGGUACGCCUCGAAGUGAAUAUAAUUGGAGGUCGUGGCUAACAUCGUAGAAGAAGUAGCUUAGGAUAAUAUAGAAAUUAAAUUUUCUUUCUUUUAAUUUUCUUUAAUUUAGGUGGGGAUGACCUCGAGCCUCUUUUUGUUUGUUUUUCUUUUCUGUGUUAUUACCUCAAUUGAAUAAUUUAAAAGCCAACUAGAUCAAGUAUGUAACUAUACUAGUUACGGCCUUGGGGAGUGUCUAACACCCUGUCCCCGAGUCAAAUGAACCCAUUACCCAAAUCUCUGGUGUUGACUUAGUUUUAGAGUUCAAAGUGUUUUGAAAGGAAAAUUAUUAUUUUUAGAAAAAGCGGUGACCUGACACACCGAAAUCAAAUGUUAGGUGGCGACUUUGAGUUAUUUCCUUUUGAAAAUAAUUUUGUACUUUUCAACUGAAAACCCUUUUCAAGCUUUAUUAAAUCUUUUUAUUAAUUUAAGAGGGUUAAGUGAGGUUUUGUAAAAAAAGGGUGUGACAAGCCCCUCAACAAAGUCUAAGCUGAUAUCUUGCCAUACCUUUUCAGGAAUGGGUAGGGGUUGUAAUAGGCCUGGGGACUUCACAUUCCCACCCUUACACAUUUGGCAAGUAUCACAGCUCCUAAUGUGUUCAUAAAAUCCUAUUUUCAUCUUCUUCCAGUAAUAAACUUGACCAACACUAUGCAAAGUGGCAGCCAUUCCUGAGUGACCUCCAACAGCACUGUCAUGAAAGAAAUACAAAAUAUCAUCUCUGAAAAGCUUGUCAGGGCCAACCAUUAUUUUACCUUUCAUGUAAAUGAUGUCAUCCUUUAGCCAGUAUAUAGGAUUGGCUAAUGCAUUUUGACUAAGCUAAGAUGCCAACUGUUGUAGAUGUUGAUCUCCCGAGUAAGAGGAUAUCACUCUUGCAAGGAAGUCUGAAGACACAGUAGAAAUAGUUAAGAGAUGAAUGUUGUUCAUAGGAAACCUUAACAAAGCAUUUGUUGUUACAUUCUCCUUCCCUUUCUUGUACAUGAUGUUGUAGUCAUAACCCAUAAGUUUAUUAACCUAUUUCUGCUGGCUAGGAGUAGAUACCCUCUUUUCUAGAAGAUACUUGAGGCUCUAGUGGUCUUUCUUAAUAAGAAAAUGCCUGCCAAUGAGAUAUGGUCUCCAUUUAUCAUCACAAUGGCCAUCAUCUCCUUUUCAUACACUGAGCGGUGUUGAUGCUUAGAAUGCAAAGCCUUGUUAAAAUAAGCUAGAGGAUGACCCCCUUGCAUCAAUACAUCCCUUAUUCCAUGCCCACAUGCAUCAAUUUCAAUAAUGAACUCUUAGG